rnacentral:tRNA from 1 species
UCCCUGGUAGCUCAGUGAUAAAGAGUCUGCCUGCCAAUGCAGAAGACACAGGUUCGAACCCUGACUGGGAAG